UCACGUGCGUUGCCAAUACCAAUGCUCGUCAAUACGUAUACGCCGCGUGGAACAAGUCUAAUACAUUGACUAAAUGUAAACUCGAGGGGUUGUUGACGUAGGUAAUUUGGACAAGAAAAAAUACCGUCCGGAGCAACUAGCGUCAGCACAGACAGAAUUUCAUUUGAAUAACAAAUAAUAUUUGCCAUUUGUGACAGGUAGACAAGAGUCCACGGACAGGGAGAGGACAAACGGAACAGAUAGACAACCAGCGAUAGCCAGAUAGCCAAAAAAAAAAAAAAAAAAAAAACAAUAUGCUCAAUCGAACAGGUACUUCACAAAUAAGCGCGACCCGCGUUUUAUGGCUUCACGGGAACCGAUUAUCCCGUGCAAAUGCUUAUCUAAAACACAAAAAUAAAUCAAACAACUACACCCACAUAAUCUUAUCGACGCGUGGCGGCAGCUGUGGCCGUAGCAUGAAAUAUAAAACAACUGUAAACUGCAGAGGUAUCAAAGUCGAAAUUCUACAUGAGUCGCGCGUCGAGUCGCAGCUCAAAUUUCGCUGGGGUCUAC